rnacentral:rRNA from 1 species
AUACGGCCCAAACUCCUACGGGAGGCAGCAGUGGGGAAUAUUGCACAAUGGGCGCAAGCCUGAUGCAGCGACGCCGCGUGCGGGAUGACGGCCUUCGGGUUGUAAACCGCUUUUGAUCGGGAGCAAGCCUUCGGGUGAGUGUACCUUUCGAAUAAGCACCGGCUAACUACGUGCCAGCAGCCGCGGUAAUACGUAGGGUGCAAGCGUUAUCCGGAAUUAUUGGGCGUAAAGGGCUCGUAGGCGGUUCGUCGCGUCCGGUGUGAAAGUCCAUCGCUUAACGGUGGAUCUGCGCCGGGUACGGGCGGGCUGGAGUGCGGUAGGGGAGACUGGAAUUCCCGGUGUAACGGUG